rnacentral:rRNA from 1 species
UACGAAGGGGGCUAGCGUUGUUCGGAAUUACUGGGCGUAAAGCGUGCGCAGGCGGCCAUCCAAGUCAGUGGUGAAAGCCCGGAGCUCAACUCCGGAACUGCCAUUGAAACUGUUUGGCUCGAGUACGAGAGAGGUGAGUGGAAUUCCCAGUGUAGAGGUGAAAUUCGUAGAUAUUGGGAAGAACACCGAUGGCGAAGGCGGCUCACUGGCUCGUAACUGACGCUCAUGCACGACAGCGUGGGGAUCAAACAGG